rnacentral:lncRNA from 1 species
UGGGUGUGGGUGUGGGUGUGGGUGUGGGUGGGCGGAAGGAAGGAGCGCGCGCGAGGCCAUUAAUUGUGUGGAUAUUUGAUUUGGUCCCCGGGGCCACGUGGCGCCCCCUCCCCCGCCGCGCGACACAUGUAGGUCACGGCUGUGUCCCUAUUAAGACGCGUUUUGCGGGAAGGUAAUUUUGUUUUCUGCUAAGUGGCUGACGUUUAAUUUUAAAAUAGCCUGCUAAUUUGUCAGGUCCUGCACAUAGUUCCAGCUGCCCUCUCCAGUGAAUUCACACACACAGCAGAACCGUGCGUUCUUCUCCCAGUGGCUUCGAUCCAGGUUCUCGGGACACUUUUCAGGAAGAGCUGUGAUGCAAGUGGUGUCACUGAUUUCGGUCCUAUAGGGUGCAGUUGAUGGAGAAUAAGUCCGUGCCACGGCAGGAGGGUCAUUUGAGACGAACGGGCCAGGACUCCUUAGGCCGGAUCUUGACGAGACUCCAGGUGCGACUUGUUCCUUCUCCCAUUUUCCAAGGGACCGCUGCAUCUUUACAGGCGUCGGUCCACGAUGGCACAGUUCAGAGAAGAUUUGCUGCUGCGACUGCGCUCAGGACUCAGUGUUGGCUUCUGUUUUUUUUUUUGGAUGAAUUUAAUAUUUUCGUGGUGGGAAGAGACUUUGCUUUUGAGACGGAUAAGCCUCGCCGCAGGCGACGCGACAUUUCUUUCAUGUGUCGUCGUUCAUGUAGCUGGUGUUAA